GAGCUCAUAGAUGGGAGAUAAAGUAUACAUACUUACAAGACAUUUAUUGCAUAGUCAAACCAUGGAUCCAGAGAAACAAGUCAAUAAGUCAAAUCAAGAUGUGCAUGUGUGGCGAAUGAAUGGUGUAUGGUGAUGAUGGUGAUAACAAUGGUGAAAGUCUAAUUCUACUUUUGCUCUUUUGAGGGGAUACAUACCUUUCUUGCUCUUUUGAAUUUUUUGAGGAGAAUGAGAUGCUCUAUAUUUUCUUUUUCUUUCCUCUCAGGUGGGUAUCUUGUACCCCUAAUUCAACUGUCGAACACUUGUCCAUUUUUACCUCUCGUCUCACUUUUUCUUUUCUUUCG
rnacentral:lncRNA from 1 species